CUCGCGUGAUCCCCUCACCGCUUCCGCCGUUCGGGUCUGCCGAUGCAGCUGGCAAUCCAUGACGGAAGCUUCUCUGCCUGUUCAGUUACAGAUGUGCCCGUGGGAAGGGCUUUUCCGGCUCCUCAGCUGGAUGCUGUGCCACAGGCCGGUUGGCACCGCAGGGGUGAGUCAGUCUGUCUCUGCUGACCUCACAGGCUAAGCACUGGUUUUCCAUAAUUUAGUCCUGUGAAAUUGAACCAAAUACUUUCUGUGAAGGUCCUCCAAGAGCGCAGUACCACCAAGCUGAGGGAGGAAAAAAGCGCCCGGAGCCAUCUCCACUCCUGAGGAAAAUGCUGGACGAACUGGAGAGACGACACGAGACGGACCGAGAGGCUGUGAAGAAGCUCUUGUUUCCAGACGGAAGCAGCGGCUCCCUGCCAGUCCCUCCCGACGAAGCGCAGGCAACGCAAGGCGCCGGCACGCCAGUGCUGUCAGAGUCCGGAGAAGACCACCAGGCCAGCAGAUAUGAUUUUU